UCCCUAGCUGGUCUGAGAGGAUGACCAGCCACACUGGAACUGAGACACGGUCCAGACUCCUACGGGAGGCAGCAGUGGGGAAUAUUGCACAAUGGGCGCAAGCCUGAUGCAGCCAUGCCGCGUGUAUGAAGAAGGCCUUCGGGUUGUAAAGUACUUUCAGCGGGGAGGAAGGGAGUAAAGUUAAUACCUUUGCUCAUUGACGUUACCCGCAGAAGAAGCACCGGCUAACUCCGUGCCAGCAGCCGCGGUAAUACGGAGGGUGCAAGCGUUAAUCGGAAUUACUGGGCGUAAAGCGCACGCAGGCGGUUUGUUAAGUCAGAUGUGAAAUCCCCGGGCUCAACCUGGGAACUGCAUCUGAUACUGGCAAGCUUGAGUCUCGUAGAGGGGGGUAGAAUUCCAGGUGUAGCGGUGAAAU
rnacentral:rRNA from 1 species